AUGUCCUCCAACGCCUACUCCGGCCCCGGUGAUGAUGGCGGGACGCCCUACACGGCCGGGGUCGCCGUCGUCGUUAGCGUGCUCUUCGUCAUCGCGCUCGUCAGGCUGGCCCGCUACAUCCUAGGCCCGCCCAGUGACAGUGAGGCGCAGCAGCAGCCAGCCCAGGGCCGCGGUGACGGCGAGCCUCAGCCAGAGGUAGCCGUGGAGGUGCGGUCGGCGGAGCCGGUGGUGUGCGCGUACCGGAGGGAAGACGGGUGGCGGGAGGCCACAUGCCCCGUGUGCUUGUCCGACUUCGCCGACGGCGAGACCGUCAGGGUGCUGCCGGCGUGCAUGCACUACUUCCAUGCAGCGUGCGUCGGCGAGUGGCUGCGCCGCAACACCACUUGCCCGGUCUGCCGCACCGCGCCACCGCCGCCAUCACCAGCAAGGUCUCCGGUCAAGGCCACCUCCACGGCGUGA
rnacentral:rRNA from 1 species